rnacentral:rRNA from 1 species
GACGAACGCUGGCGGCGUGCUUAACACAUGCAAGUCGAACGGAAAGGCCCUGCUUUUGUGGGGUGCUCGAGUGGCGAACGGGUGAGUAACACGUGAGUAACCUUCCCUUUACUUUGGGAUAACUUCAGGAAACUGGGGCUAAUACCGGAUAGGAGCUCCUGCUGCAUGGUGGGGGUUGGAAAGUUUCGGCGGUUGGGGAUGGACUCGCGGCUUAUCAGCUUGUUGGUGGGGUAGUGGCUUACCAAGGCUUUGACGGGUAGCCGGCCUGAGAGGGUGACCGGCCACAUUGGGACUGAGAUACGGACCAGACUCCUACGGGAGGCAGCAGUGGGGAAUAUUGCACAAUGGGCGGAAGCCUGAUGCAGCAACGCCGCGUGCGGGAUGACGGCCUUCGGGUUGUAAACCGCUUUAGCCUGUGACGAAGCGUGAGUGACGGUAAUGGGUAAAGAAGCACCGGCUAACUACGUG